UCUCUUUUUAUUGAUUAAAACACAUUAGGAGUUUUAUUUAUACAAUUAGUAGAUUUUGAGUUAUGAGUAUUUUCUUUUUAUUGUAUAUGUGAAGAUGACUGUAAAAGUGAGAGUGUUUGUUGAUAAGUACUGUGUAAUGCCCAUUUUUUUACCCGGGCCCACACAAAAAAAAUAUAAACCAAAUUCAAAAUUAAUAACAGUUCAAUAGCAGUCUAUUUACAAUAGUCUAUGUGGCCCACUACCCAAACACUAGCCUAGCCCAAUAUUUGGCCCAUUAGCCUAAAUAUCCAGGCCCAAACUAGCCUAAGCAUUGGGAAAUCAGAAACCCUAGGCGGCAACAUUCGGCCUCAGCAGAGCCAGGCCUCCUCCUCGCACGUGUUACGCCUGCGCGCGUGUAGUGCCACCGCGCCAAAUUCACACGAGCCUCCACGUCCACUGCUCCGUACGCCUGCAACAAAUAAAAACGAACAAAGCAGCAGGCAAAAUGAGCAAAAUAGCAGAAAGGGCCAAUGAAUAAAUAGAUUUAUUUUAUUUUAUUUACUCUAAUUUUUUUAUUUUGGCUAUAAAAGGGCCAAAGGAGUAUGUACUAAGGAUUUUUACAGAGAUUGAAUAGAAACAAAAAAAAGCAGAAAGUUUUUUCGAAAGGUGAUUUUCUCUGUUUUUUCUUUCUUUUUAUUUUCUUUGAUUCUUUGUUUUCUUCUUUUGCACCAAACGAAAAUAAAAGAGGAGGGGAAGAAGUGUCUUACCAGAGGAGAUGCCAUCGGAACCUGGUUUGCUCCGUCUGAAUCGGAGUCAGAUCGGGUUCAUGACUGGAAACGGCGGAGAAAAGCUAGGCUAUUGAUCUGUUUUAGAAUGGCAAAAUAACUUAUUAGGGUUUUAUUCUUUU
rnacentral:lncRNA from 1 species